CUACAGUGUGAACCUUAGAGCUCACUGCUGCACAGCGAGUCUCUUCUUGGACGGCUCAGAGGCACAGAAGAUGUAGCCAGACUUGCCGGCCAAACCCGAGGGUGUGUGUUGAUGCUGGGACCAAGAAGAAGAAGAAGAGGAAGAGGAGGAGGAGAAGGAAGAUGAUAAUCGCAACAGGAAGAUCAGAAGAAGAGGAGGAAGAAGAAGAAGAAGAAGAGGAGGAGGAAGAAUGGAAGAAGAGAAGAGAACACACACACACAUAUAUAUGACAAACACCUUUUUCUAUAUUUUUCAUUUUUAUUAGUCCAUAAAACA